AUAGACAAUCGACGCCCGGAAGUUGGAUGGAUACGGAAGUUACGGAGGCGGGACUUAUUCUGGAGAGGUCUAUUGCCUUGUCACAGACCAGACGAUUUUCAACGGAACUAUGAGCUAAAAUGAUCAGCAUCAGGCUCCAGUCUGGUUUGGGGGUCUACCCUUUCUCAUCCUGGCCUGCCAGCCAAGUAAAAAGAGAAAUAACUACAGACCUCUGCAACUGCUGAUACCGGUUCAGGAUGAACUGCAGAUGCUGUGAGAGAGUCAGUGGUUCAACCAGCCAACAAACAGGAAAAGCUCAAGGCGGAGUCUUAACUGUCAGCAACUCUACCCAAAAAAAUCAGGCUACUGUUAUUUCCCACUAAGAAAAACAGUGGUCUGGUAUGAAGGUUAUCUGUGUUUUG